UGGGGAAUUUUGGACAAUGGGCGAAANCCUGAUCCAGCAAUGCCGCGUGAGUGAAGAAGGCCUUCGGGUUGUAAAGCUCUUUUGUCAGGGAAGAAACGGUGAGAGCUAAUAUCUUUUGCUAAUGACGGUACCUGAAGAAUAAGCACCGGCUAACUACGUGCCAGCAGCCGCGGUAAUGCGUAGGGUGCAAGCGUUAAUCGGAAUUACUGGGCGUAAAGCGUGCGCAGGCGGUUUUGUAAAGUCUGAUGUGAAAUCCCCGGGCUCAACCUGGGAAUUGCAUUGGAGACUGCAAGGCUAGAAUCUGGCGGAGGGGGGUAGAAUUCCCACGUGUAGCAGUGAAAUGCGUAGAUAUGUGGAGGAACACCGAUGGCGAAGGCAGCCCCCUGGGUCAAGAUUGACGCUCAUGCACGAAAGCGUGGGGAGCAAACAGGAUUAGAUACCCUGGUAGUCCACGCCCUAAACGAUGUCUACUAGUUGUCGGGUCUUAAUUGACUUGGUAACGCAGCUAACGCGUGAAGUAGACCGCCUGGGGAGUACGGUCGCAAGAUUAAAACUUAAANGAUUGNCGGGGUCAUAGCUGUUUCCUG
rnacentral:rRNA from 1 species